rnacentral:rRNA from 1 species
GACGAACGCUGGCGGCGUGCUUAACACAUGCAAGUCGAACGGAAAGGCCCCUUUGGGGGUACUCGAGUGGCGCACGGGUGAGUAACACGUGAGUAACCUGCCCUUGACUUCGGGAUAACUUCAGGAAACUGGGGCUAAUACCGGAUAGGAAUCCUUGCUGCAUGGUGGGGGUUGGAAAGCUUCGGCGGUUUUGGAUGGACUCGCGGCUUAUCAGCUUGUUGGUGGGGUAGUGGCUUACCAAGGCUUUGACGGGUAGCCGGCCUGAGAGGGCGACCGGCCACAUUGGGACUGAGAUACGGCCCAGACUCCUACGGGAGGCAGCAGUGGGGAAUAUUGCACAAUGGGCGGAAGCCUGAUGCAGCAACGCUGCGUGCGGGAUGACGGCCUUCGGGUUGUAAACCGCUUUCAGCAGGGGCGAAGCUUGUGGUGACGGUACCUGCAGAAGAAGCACCGGCUAACUACGUG